AUGGCAAUUCUGAAUUUCUCUGGUCCGACAGCCAUUUGGUUGCAGUCUAUGCAGCGCAAGAUCACUGGUCUUGUGUGGGAAUCGUUCACAGCGUUGUUGUGCACUCGAUUUGGGCGUGACAAACACCAAUCGCUGAUUCGCCAGUUUUAUGCUAUCCGUCAGACUGAAUUAGUUGCAAAUUUCAUUGAGCGAUUUGAGACGUUGAUGAAUCAUAUGAUCUCUUAUUCUGAACUGACACAUCUGUAUUUCUUUCUUACAUGAUUCAUCGAGGGGCUACGGGCGGAUAUACGAGCAGUGGUGCUCAUUCACAGAUCACCAGACAUCGACACGGCCUGUUCGCUUGCUCUGCUUCAGGAGGAAGUGGCUGAUGGGGAGAACACCUUACGCCCCGCGGCCAUCCGAUUGCCAAUGUCGCGUUUGGUGGGUGUCAGUACGCCAAGUCUGCCGGUGAGUACUGCACGACUGUCAGUGCCUGCAGCCAAAGCGGAAGAUCACCGGGGUACCCAAGCAGCAAGGGCCGGAGCAGAAGGCAGUAAGGGCAGCAUGCGCUGUUUUAGGCGCGCCCGAGGUCUGUGUUUUAAAUGUGGCGGACGAUGGGGCAAGGAUCACACAUGUCCUCCUACUGUGCAGAUGCAUGUAGUGGAGGAACUCUUGGAGCUCUUUGCAGCAGAAGAGGUGCUAGGGGAAAACAAUCACGAACCAAACGAGCUGGAUGAAGACAACCUCUGCACCAUUUCCAAGCAAGCGGUGGAUGGGUCUGCCGGGCCGGGUGUGAUGCAACUGCACGCAUGGAUUCAAGGGGAGGAAACGUCAUUGAUGGUUGACUCGGGCAUCUCCUCCUCAUUUGUCGACCAUCACAUGGUAGCCAAACUAUCUAGAGUAUGCAAACUACCCAAGACAUGCAGAGUUAAAGUGGCAGAUGGUGCUGUGUUGAACUGCGACAGUUUCAUACCACAGUGCCAAUGGACUUCUCAGGGGCAUGAAUUUAUCACCAAUUUCAAAGUCCUAUCACUUGGAGCUUAUGAUGCUAUCUUGGGGAUGGACUGGCUCAAGAAACACAGCCCCAUGAACAUUGAUUGGGAGGCACAACAUAUGACAGUUACAACGGAGGAAGGGCUGGUCGAAUUGCAAGCAGUUACCAAUAAUCAA
rnacentral:rRNA from 1 species